AACGAACGCUGGCGGCAGGCUUAACACAUGCAAGUCGAGCGCCCCGCAAGGGGAGCGGCAGACGGGUGAGUAACGCGUGGGAAUCUACCCAUCUCUACGGAAUAACGCAUGGAAACGUGUGCUAAUACCGUAUACGUCCUUCGGGAGAAAGAUUUAUCGGAGAUGGAUGAGCCCGCGUUGGAUUAGCUAGUUGGUGGGGUAAAGGCCUACCAAGGCGACGAUCCAUAGCUGGUCUGAGAGGAUGAUCAGCCACACUGGGACUGAGACACGGCCCAGCAUCCUACAGGCGGCAGCAGUGGGGAAUAUUGGACAAUGGGCGCAAGCCUGAUCCAGCCAUGUGGCGUGAGUGAUGAAGGCCCUAGGGUUGUAAAGCUCUUUCACCGGUGUAGGUAAUGACGGUAACCGGAGAAGAAGCCCCGGCUAACUUCGUGCCAGCAGCCGCCGCAGUAA
rnacentral:rRNA from 1 species